rnacentral:lncRNA from 1 species
ACCAUACUUUUUCUUCACAAACAAGACACGAGCACCCCAAGGUGAUAGACUAGGUAGAAUAAAAGCCUUAUCAAGGAAUUCCUACUGCUGAUCCUUCAACUCCUGCAGCUUAAGCGAGGCCAUACGAUACAAAUGAAUGGAAAUGGGCUGAGUGCCCGGCAACAAAUCAAUGCCAAAAUCAAUAUCUAAUCAAGUGACAUGCCUGGAAGAUCAGUUGGAAACACAUCGGAAAAGUCCUGUACUACUAAAACUGAAUCAAAUGAAAGGGGUAUCAAUAUUGACAUCUCUCAUAUAGACUAGAUAUGCAUCACACCCCUUCUCAACCAUACACUGAGAUUUAAGGAAAGAAAAAACUCUACUGGAAGUGUGAUCUAAAGCACCCAUCCACUCAACACGCGGCACACUUAGCGUAUCCAGCGUUAUGGUCUUGGCGUCACAAUCAAGAAUAGCAUAAUGGGUGACAACCAGUCCAUACCUAAGAUAAUAUCAACGUCUACCAUGCUGAGCAACAAUAAAUCGGCUUUGGUCUCAAACCACCAAGAGAAACAAAACAUGACCGAUAAAUACUAUGCACAACA